rnacentral:rRNA from 1 species
CACGUAGGCGGAUAUUUAAGUCAGGGGUGAAAUCCCAGAGCUCAACUCUGGAACUGCCUUUGAUACUGGGUAUCUUGAGUAUGGAAGAGGUAAGUGGAAUUCCGAGUGUAGAGGUGAAAUUCGUAGAUAUUCGGAGGAACACCAGUGGCGAAGGCGGCUUACUGGUCCAUUACUGACGCUGAGGUGCGAAAGCGUGGGGAGCAAACAG